rnacentral:tRNA from 1 species
GCCUCGGUAGCUAAGUGGUCUAAGGCGCCUGACUUGUAAUCAGGAGAUCCCGAGUUCAAAUCUCGGCCGGGGCUCCA